UACGUAGGGUGCGAGCGUUAAUCGGAAUUACUGGGCGUAAAGCGUGCGCAGGCGGUUUUGUAAGCCAGAUGUGAAAUCCCCGGGCUUAACCUGGGAAUGGCAUUUGGGACUGCAAGGCUUGAGUGCGGCAGAGGAGACUGGAAUUCCUGGUGUAGCGGUGAAAUGCGUAGAUAUCAGGAGGAACACCUGAGGCGAAAGCGGCUCUCUGGACCACAACUGACGCUGAGGCGCGAAAGCUAGGGGAGCAAACAGG
rnacentral:rRNA from 1 species